AACAGGAUUAGAUACCCUGGUAGUCCUCGCCGUAAACGAUGUCGACUUGGAGGUUGUGCCCUUGAGGCGUGGCUUCCGGAGCUAACGCGUUAAGUCGACCGCCUGGGGAGUACGGCCGCAAGGUUAAAACUCAAAUGAAUUGACGGGGGCCCGCACAAGCGGUGGAGCAUGUGGUUUAAUUCGAUGCAACGCGAAGAACCUUACCUACUCUUGACAUCCAGAGAACUUAGCAGAGAUGCUUUGGUGCCUUCGGGAACUCUGAGACAGGUGCUGCAUGGCUGUCGUCAGCUCGUGUUGUGAAAUGUUGGGUUAAGUCCCGCAACGAGCGCAACCCUUAUCCUUUGUUGCCAGCGGUUCGGCCGGGAACUCAAAGGAGACUGCCAGUGAUAAACUGGAGGAAGGUGGGGAUGACGUCAAGUCAUCAUGGCCCUUACGAGUAGGGCUACACACGUGCUACAAUGGCAUAUACAAAGAGAAGCGACCUCGCGAGAGCAAGCGGACCUCAUAAAGUAUGUCGUAGUCCGGAUUGGAGUCUGCAACUCGACUCCAUGAAGUCGGAAUCGCUAGUAAUCGUGGAUCAGAAUGCCACGGUGAAUACGUUCCCGGGCCUUGUACACACCGCCCGUCACACCAUGGGAGUGGGUCGCAAAAGAAGUAGGUAGCUUAACCUUCGGGAGGGCGCUUACCACUUUGUGAUUCAUGACUGGGGUGAAGUCGUAACAAGGUAACC
rnacentral:rRNA from 1 species